AACGAACGCUGGCGGCAGGCUUAACACAUGCAAGUCGAGCGCCCCGCAAGGGGAGCGGCAGACGGGUGAGUAACGCGUGGGGAUCUACCCAUCUCUACGGAAUAACGCAUGGAAACGUGUGCUAAUACCGUAUACGUCCUUCGGGAGAAAGAUUUAUCGGAGAUGGAUGAGCCCGCGUUGGAUUAGCUAGUUGGUGGGGUAAAGGCCUACCAAGGCGACGAUCCAUAGCUGGUCUGAGAAGAUGAUCAGCCACACUGGGACUGAGACACGGCCCAGAAUCCUACGGGAGGCAGCAGUGGGGAAUAUUGGACAAGGGGCGCAAGCCCGAUCCAGCCAUGCCGCGUGAGUGAUGAAGGCCCUAGGGUUGUAAAGCUCUUUCACCGGUGAAGAUAAUGACGGUAACCGGAGAAGAAGCCCCGGCUAACUUCGUGCCAGCAGCCGCCGUAAAAC
rnacentral:rRNA from 1 species